rnacentral:lncRNA from 1 species
ACCCCAAAACCCCAGCCAACGUCCCAGAACUUCCCUAUUCGACCGCUAGCUUCCCUAUUCGGCCGCUACAAGCCUCCCAACUCGUCCGACUGUCCAAGCUUCACUCGCUCGGCGGCCCCAAGCCUCCAUCCGACUCAAAGAUUGAAAAAACAGUGAAAAAACAGAGGAAAACCGGGGGAAAACAAACCUCAUCCGCUCUAAUCCUCCCACGGUAAAAAAUCUUCCAUUUUUCUUUUCAUUCAUUCUCUUUUUUCUUUUUUCGGAGAUCUGAGGGGAAGGAGAACCCCUUCUUCGGAGAUCUAAGGGAAGGAGAGAAUCCCUGAGAGAGGAUUUGGGGAUCUGAGGGGAAGGAGAACCCCUUUUUCGGAGAUCUGAGGGGGAGGAGAGAACCAAGUGCGAGAGGGUUUGGGGUUGCGGCAGUUUGGGAAGAGGAGAACGCGAGGGGUUUGUUCCGGUGGGGGAAGAAGAACGCCAGCAGCAGCGAUUGAAGAUUGGGGUUUGCGCGAGCUGCGACAGAUUGGGAAGGAGAAUGCGUGACAGAGCACUACAAGAAAAUUGUCUUAACGAAUUGGUCGCGAAUUGGUCGCUGAUAGGUAGUUUGUCG